UACGUAGGGUGCGAGCGUUAAUCGGAAUUACUGGGCGUAAAGCGUGCGCAGGCGGUUUUGUAAGCCCGAUGUGAAAUCCCCGGGCUUAACCUGGGAAUGGCAUUUGGGACUGCAAGGCUUGAGUUUGGCAGAGGAGACUGGAAUUCCUGGUGUAGCAGUGAAAUGCGUAGAUAUCAGGAGGAAUACCGAUGGCGAAGGCGGGUCUCUGGGCUAGAACUGACGCUCAUGCACGAAAGCGUGGGGAGCGAACAGG
rnacentral:rRNA from 1 species